CACGGUCAUGCUCGUCAAAUUUAUAACCUGCAAAAUCCAGCUCGACUAUUUACGCCGCACAACUGACUGCGCUUUGCACGCCGAAUUAGGGAGCAGAUAGAGCAUAUAAAACGUUCAAAUUAUCUACCGCAAGUUCACACUCGACAUUUACCAAAUGUUCAUCAUUACUUUUGAAACGCACUAAGUCGUAAAUGUCGAGCCACCAAUUAUACCUGAUUGAAAAAGGCAUUGCAAAAGAGGAAUGGACAAUAUAGCUUUUCUGCUUCCUAAGGUAAC
rnacentral:misc_RNA from 1 species